rnacentral:lncRNA from 1 species
CCAUCCCACUGCCCUGCCUGGCUGUGAGACCAGGGGUGGGGGCAUCAAAAGCAUCCCCUCUCUCCCAGGAUGAGGAUGGGGAAGGGUGGCCAGAGCUGGGCCUGAUAGAGGGGGGAAAUUAGGUCAGGUUUAAAAUAACCCCCUUGGUUCUGCUUGGCUUCCCCCCCCACCCCCCGAAACACGGAGCAGCUUCUGCUUUCGCUCUGAGUCAGCCCUGGCGGGACAGGAUGGGGACCCGGCUGUCAUCGUGCAGGCACCUCACCCUGGGGGACACAUCCCACCCUGGAGACACAUCCCACCAUCCAGGGGCACAGACAUAGAGCACAUGGGAUGGCAGCUCCAUCCAGGAUACCUGUUAUUCCUGGGAAGGUGCCCUGUGGUUCUCCAGAGCCGUCCCUGCACCAGUGGGAGCCCCAGACUGGUCUCUACUGGGAGGAGAGCCCAGCAAGGGUUCAUCCUGGUUCACAGGGAGGCAGGACAGUGGGAGGCCCAGGGUGGGUGAUUGAGCAACAGGAAGGGGAUGGAGAGGCAGAAGAGGGGCUCAGGGGUGGGAAGCUGGAGGGAGGAGGAAAAAGGUCACGAUCUCUCUCCAUACCCCAACUCCUCUUUUCCUCUCUGGGGGGGACACAGAACACAGGGCUGUCCAGGCUCCAGCCGUGUUCCAUCACCACCCGCCAGACCCACUGCCAGGGAACGCAUCUCCCUUCCAAACAUCUCUGCUGCUACUUAGCAGCGUGGUUAUUUCUGGACCUUUCUUGCUUUCCCUCUGGGGGGUGUUAUUUCAUCAAGAACCCAACAUGCCAGGAUGGCACUUGGGGGUGGCUCCAGCCGGAGGAUCCCCAGUGGCACCCAGAGCUGCCCCAACCCUCCCUAAUCCCCUUCAGGACUUCACAGAGCCCCGAGCUGUCCCUCAUCCCUGCAGUGACAGCCGGUGGCACGGGGUCGGCUGCUCAGCAACCGCCGGGACGUGCUGGAGCUCCAUCGGGUGCUGCUCCGCAACGCGAGGGGCCAGGCUG